AUAAGUAUCAGUUCACUUCUGGGCAUUCAUCAAUUUUAGUGCUACAUAUUCCUAUUUGGAUUAUACUUGGUGCAUCAAAUUAAUGAAUCAGGAAACUCCUUUUUUGUUGUUUGGGCAGGGGCCUCAGUUUGUUCGGAAUCAGAUACAACCAUUUGAUCCAUUAUUGUUUGUGGGCAUCAUAUUUAAAAAAAAUAUUUUUUGGAUUUUGUAAAGUUUGCGGUUAAUAAGCCGGUGAGAGCUGAUGGUUCAGUUUGAUCCUGCAUUUUCUUGACCUCUUUCUCUGUCAGGAGGAUAUUCAAUACCAAGAUUUAUGAUUUGGCAUAAGUGAGAUGACAUACAAGUGAGUUUAAUUCGUGAGAGUGAAAUAGCAACAGUUUUCUUAUCAUACCGCCGGCAGCUGCACCUCAACUGCGGAAAAAGAAAUCUUGAAGAACCAAGACCACCACCAGCUGGAAGAAGGUAAAAAUCCUUUUUUUUCUUCUCCCUCCUCAUUUGAUUUCCAUUCCUCGCAGCUCUAGGUAAUUUCGUGACCUACCUCUUGGUAAGUCACCUAUCUGCAGAAUGCAUGUAGUGUGUGUGUGUGUGUGUGUCAGAUAUACAGUGAAAAAACACCACAAUGCAAGUGUCAGAUCCUGUUCUUGGUGCAAUUUUGCCACUAUGUUCUGGACUGUAAGCAACUGCUUCAUGUUAAACUAAAGCUCCAAUCAGGCUUGUGGCUCUUCUGUACCUGUAUGCCUAGAUUAUUUACUAAUGGGAUAUGCACUAGAUCUUCCUGUA